rnacentral:tRNA from 2 species
GGUAUAGCCAAGCGGUAAGGCAACAGACUUUGACUCUGUCACGCGUGGGUUCAAAUCCCGCUGCC